rnacentral:rRNA from 1 species
GAUUUAUUGCCUUUGGAUUAACCCGCGUCAGAUUAGCUAGUUGGUAGGGUAAUGGCCUACCAAGGCGACGAUCUGUAGCUGGUCUGAGAGGAUGAUCAGCCACACUGGGACUGAGACACGGCCCAGACUCCUACGGGAGGCAGCAGUGGGGAAUAUUGGACAAUGGGCGCAAGCCUGAUCCAGCCAUGCCGCGUGAGUGAUGACGGCCUUAGGGUUGUAAAGCUCUUUUAACAGGGACGAUAAUGACGGUACCUGUAGAAUAAGCCCCGGCUAACUUCGUGCCAGCAGCCGCGGUAAUACGAAGGGGGCUAGCGUUGUUCGGAAUCACUGGGCGUAAAGCGCACGUAGGCGGAUUCUUAAGUCGGGGGUGAAAUCCUGAGGCUCAACCUCAGAACUGCCUUCGAUACUGGGGAUCUUGAGUUCGGAAGAGGUUGGUGGAACAGCUAGUGUAGAGGUGAAAUUCGUAGAUAUUAGCUAGAACACCAGUGGCGAAGGC